AACACUUCGUUACUUAGAUAAAGGAUAUAAUGCACUUGAUAAUACACUUCGUAAAAUAACUCUUCUUGUCCAAAAAAACGUACCAGUAGCUUCAAAAGCUCCAUUGUUGGAUUAUAUAAGUUCUUACAACUUGUACAAGCUAACUCUAUUUGACAUUUCAAUUGAUGGAAGUUGGGCAGAACAUAUCUCUUGUAGCAGAACGUGAAAUCUCGGUUUCUCGACAACAACAUGUUUCGUUCCUUAGGGGGACGGGUGUAAUUCUUUUCGCAGGGCAGCAUAGCUGGUUUUGCCACUACUUUCGAUCUCGUUGUUUCGUUUUUGUCUCGGUUCAGACAGGUUGCCGGGAGAAUCGCACCAGUAGAAUUUACUGAGUACCAACCAGUGUGGUAAGCUUCAUAUCAUCCGAAGUUACCAGGUCCAAAGUUUUGUGUAUAUACAAUAUGGGUAGCCUAGGGUCAUGUCCCGACCAUAUUACAGUUACACUCUUGUAGAGGCUUGUAGACUUUUUUUGUUAGUAUAAUACGUUAGUAUAGAGCCCUUGUAGGCCCUUGUAUAUAUGUCUUGUUGGGUUUUGCUGCUUGCAGAAACGUAUAUUGGCAUGGUUGGCAUAGUAGUUGUUUAUGUAGGCAUUUGAUUAUCCCAUCUUGCCGAGUUAGUUUGGAGUACAGUUUAGGGCCUCGUCGGCCCCAGAUACGAUAUUAUGUUUACAGGUUGGCCUCCUUGGCCUAAUUUGUGUUUCGAGACAUAGAUGAUAUGAGUCAUAGCUUGGUUCGCUCAAGCCGAGUUCGGCAUUGGGUGCCGGCCACGCCCCGCUAGACCAAACAGGCUCUGAACUUCACACGUAUUCUGUUGUUUUGCAGCACAAGGGCUUCAUUCGAUGUAUAAAAGAAAACGCGCGCGGCGGAGCCAGAUCGAAGACGUUCGGGGCCAGCUAGAUUCUCAAGAUAGAGAGACCAAGAAAUUCAAGAUCCUUUUGCAGCAAAAAGAAAAAAAGUUGGUGACUCCUCGAUUUUUAAGGUCGAGCUUGCUGUUGCUAAGGAGGGAAAACUCCAGGUUGAAAACGAUCUGGCGAGUUUAGUUGAGAAAUACACCGUCCUUUCGGUGGAUAAGUAGAGGCUUGAACGGGAAGCCGAGGUUUUAUUCGAGGAAGAGGCGGCUGCCAACACCAAUCUAAGGCAAGAGCUCGAUGCUGUCAAAGCUGAGAUUGCCCACCUCAUUGCCAAACUUGCUUUAGAGAAGGAAGUUUUGAGAGUGGCCUAAGAGAAGGCCGAUACCCGGGCAAAGUAUUUUGAGAAUCUUACCGAUCAGCUCGAGGCGGCCACCGGAGAUCUGAGUGUGCUAUCCCAGCAGAAUACCGGGUUGACGACCCAACUGUAGCUAGCCUUAUCCGAGCAGGAUCAAAUCCAGGAUCAAAUCCAGGCCCAAGCUGAGGUUGAUGUCAAAGCUUCUAAUGAACGUUCUACUUUGCGAGCCGAGCAUAUGAAAUGGAAGACCCGUAUGCUUACUCUUCAAGAGGUCCAGCGCGGCAUCGAGGAUAUAGACGCGGAGGAAGCCGAGACCCGGACUGAGAAAGCUCUCCUGGGCGACUGUUUAGAAGAUGAGCUUGCUGCUUCCGAGGAGUUAGAUUCCUCGGAGGAGGAGUAGAUAAGCCCUUAGGCCGAAAAAUGCAUAUUUCUUUUGCGUUUGUAAAAUUUUACCAAGGUCGGUAUCUGGCCUUGUAUAUAUAUAUAUAUAUAUAUUAUAAAAGUGUUUGUUUA